rnacentral:rRNA from 1 species
AUUGAACGCUGGCGGCACGCCUAACACAUGCAAGUCGAGCGGCAGCGCGAUAUGUAGCAAUACAUAUUGGCGGCGAGCGGCGGACGGGUGAGGAACACGUAGGAACCUACCCUCGAGUGGGGGAUAACCAAGGGAAACUUUGGCUAAUACCGCAUGAUUUCGAGAGAGCAAAGCUGCCGCAAGGUGGCGCUCGAGGAGGGGCCUGCGUCCGAUUAGCUAGUUGGUGAGGUAAGAGCUCACCAAGGCGAUGAUCGGUAACUGGUCUGAGAGGACGACCAGUCACACUGGGACUGAGACACGGCCCAGACUCCUACGGGAGGCAGCAGUGGGGAAUAUUGGACAAUGGGGGCAACCCUGAUCCAGCGAUGCCGCGUGAGUGAAGAAGGCCUUCGGGUCGUAAAGCUCUUUAGGUUGGGAAGAAGAGUGAUGGAGGAAAUGCUAUCACUUUGACGGUACCGGCAGAAUAAGCACCGGCAAACUCUGUGCCAGCCGCCGCAGUAA